UGCAUUCACUCCUGUAAGUUGCUCUGGAUAAGAGUGUCUGCUAAAUGACUAAAA
rfam:Salmo salar isolate Sally breed double haploid chromosome ssa13, whole genome shotgun sequence.